GGCUGGGCCCUAUGCGACGAAGGCCGGUGAAGCCCGCCAGGACCGGAAGGUAGCAACGGUAAACCAUGAUUUUCGGGCGCCGUAGGUCUACCUGGCCCUG
rnacentral:SRP_RNA from 2 species